CCCUUAGAUGUUCGGGGCCGCACGCGCGCUACACUGAAGGAAUCAGCACGUCCUUCUCCUUGUCCGAAAGGACUGGGUAACCCGCUGAACCUCCUUCGUGCUAGGGAUUGGGGCUUGUAAUUCUUCCCCAUGAACGAGGAAUUCCCAGUAAGCGCGAGUCAUAAGCUCGCGUUGAUUACGUCCCUGCCCUUUGUACACACCGCCCGUCGCUACUACCGAUUGGAUGGUUUAGUGAGAUCCUCGGAUUGGUCCCGGCGCGGCCUCUGGUCGUGCCGGAGUGCCGAAAAGAAUGUCGAACUUGAUCAUCUAGAGGAAGUAAAAGUCGUAACA
rnacentral:rRNA from 1 species